rnacentral:snRNA from 1 species
GGAGGACCGAGUGCCGCU